rnacentral:rRNA from 1 species
GUGGGAGCAAAGGCGGCAUCAUGUCAUUGACCACCAAUGUCGAUGUGUUUAAGCCGCCUCGCAGAGGCUAUUACUGGAGUUAUUACAUCAUCACAAGUUCUCAAGAGCUAGAGUCCGCCCUGGCGCACCCUCUAGCGCAAACCUAUCCGGUCGUGCUCAUGUUCUGGGCGAGCUGGAACGAGCCGUGCAGGGUGAUGAUGAGACCCUUCAGGGCCAUGGCCGUGGCUAAGAGAAGGGCGGCCAUAUUCUGCCAGGUGGACGUCGACAAGUUCAAAGAUAUCGUGGAGCGGUACCGAGUGGAGGCGCUGCCGACGUUCCUGCUGCUCAAGCAAGGCGUGGAGAAGGGCAGGGUCGUCGGCGCCAAGGUCGGGGACCUCAGCAACAUCAUCAUGGCCAACAUAUAAAUGAUACAGUACUACUGGUACUAGAUUCGAUCUGUCGACUGAUGGUCUUUCAGUUUGGUAUAUUAUUGGUGAAUCAACAGUUGAGAUAUGUAUGAUUCAUCUUGUCGAAAAUCUCAACCACUUCCCUCUUAAACAGCCCUGCAGCACUCUGUCGGUCUAGGAAACUACUGUGCACAUGACAUAUAGGGUGAACGACAAUUGCACGAUGGUACAUCUAGCGGUUUGCAAACAGUUGUUUCCAUGCAUGGUCGUCUUCAAUGGAUUGUGGUUCAAAAAUCGUAUACGCAUUGUCGCCUCCAUAGCAGACCUGAUAAUUAAAUAGCAUACUGUGCAUGAGUUGUGCACUUGCCAAUACAAAGUGUUUAAUAUGUUUUUUUAAUGUAUCUAUUUUUAUGAAGCAUUAAAGUUUACCUAUUUAUAAACAUACUAUAGCAUCUGAAAAUCAUUUGUUUCUAAUUUCAAGUUUUGUUGUCCAAUUAUUUCAUUAUAUCUGGCAUUGAAUCGCUCCAUAAAGGUAAACCAAGCAACCACUAAAUCCAAACAACACCAAAGAGAGACAAUCACACAUCUAUCUAUAGAAAUACUAAGCUCCCUUGAAUUGAAGCGUUCUGGUGCUUUGAUGGUUGUGGGGGUCGUUGAGGACCCCACGCACAAGUGUGUGGUGUUUAGUUUUAUUUCUUUUUUUUCAUGUUCUAAUUCAC